CCUACGGGAGGCUGCAGUGGGGAAUAUUGGGCAAUGGGCGCAAGCCUGACCCAGCAACGCCGCGUGAAGGAAGAAGUCUUUCGGGUUGUAAACUUCUUUUCUCAGGGACGAAGAAAGUGACGGUACCUGAGGAAUAAGCCACGGCUAACUACGUGCCAGCAGCCGCGGUAAUACGUAGGGGGCAAGCGUUAUCCGGAUUUAUUGGGUGUAAAGGGCGCGUAGGCGGUAGCGCAAGUCUGAUGUGAAAACGCAGGGCUCAACCCUGAGCCUGCAUUUGAAACUGUGUUACUUGAGUGCUGGAGAGGCAGGCGGAAUUCCGGGUGUAGCGGUGAAAUGCGUAGAUAUAAGGAGGAACACCAGUGGCGAAGGCGGAUUGCUGGACAGUAACUGACGCUGAGGCGCGAAAGCGUGGGGAGCAAACAGGAUUAGAUACCCGGGUAGUC
rnacentral:rRNA from 1 species